CACCAGACUCCUACGGGAGGCAGCAGUGGGGGAUAUUGCACAAUGGGGGGAACCCUGAUGCAGCGACGCCGCGUGGGUGAAGGAGCGUUUCGGCGCGUAAAGCCCUAUCGGCAGGGAAGAAGGAGGACGGUACCUGACUAAGAAGCCCCGGCUAACUACGUGCCAGCAGCCGCGGGAAUACGUAGGGGGCAAGCGUUAUCCGGAUUUACUGGGUGUAAAGGGGGCGCAGACGGCAGCGCAAGCCAGGAGUGGAAGCCCGGGGCCCAACCCCGGGACUGCUCUUGGAACUGCGCGGCUGGAGUGCAGGAGGGGCAGGCGGAAUUCCUGGUGUAGCGGUGAAAUGCGUAGAUAUCAGGAGGAACACCGGUGGCGAAGGCGGCCCGCUGGACUGCGACUGACGUUGAGGCCCGAAAGCGUGGGGAGCAAACAGGAUUAGAUACCCUUGUACAC
rnacentral:rRNA from 1 species